CACAUGUACUAUUAUAUAAAUGUUGUUGUUACUAUUAUCAUCAUCAAAUAACAGUCCACUGCUGGACUGUAUAGCAGUGCCAGCAUUACCUUCCCCAUGACUCAUGGCACCAAGACUCUUCUUUUAUCUUUAGUGUAAACAGAACUGCUUCAGAAUCUGUGAAUAAUAUUGACCAUACAUUUGGCAACUAAUGUUGAAGACAUAUCUGACACCCUCCAUAAUUCCAAACAAAACAGAAUAUAUAGCAGAGUGCUGUUGGCAACAGAACAUAAAUUAAAGGCAAUGAAGUAUCAUGUUCAGGCUCCAUAGUUCUACUGUAGAACUGAGCUUAACUUCCUUCAGUAAUGAGCAACAAGCAAGUAAACAGCAGUGGCAGCAGGAAGCUCAACAUUUUCAUGAGAGUACAUCAAAAUUCCAAAUCUUUGAGUUAAAAAAGACAAAUGAUUGACAUGAAGAUUUACACAUUAGGUCAUUCAGAGGUGGAUUUUGUUGAAUGAUUUAUAGUUAGGAAAUAUGAUGAGUCUGAACUCCAGUUAAGAAGCCAACCCACUGCUUCACCCACAGGAAUCAAUGAACAAUACUAUGAAAACUGUAUACCAGGCAUAUCCUGUUCUCCAGGCUUGAGAGAAAAAGGGCCAUUCAGAUUAUAACCAAUACAAAGUUCAGAAGCAAGCAGCGGUGAAAGAAUGGGGGUGCUGGUGCCCAUUGCAGAUCCUUUAAGAUACCAUUAUAACUGAAAGGGACAUGACCCAAGCAAGCCCUUAUGAAGUGUGAAAGACAGAAAAUGUUUGUUUAAAGAAAAGGAACGUUAUCUGUCCAUGUCUGUCUAUCAGAUGAUUAUGAUAUUAAAAUGUGUUAAGGGUAUUACAAGUUGGGCCUUGCAUUAAACGAGGCAAGUCGUGUUUAUGCAACAAUCAAUGGGAGUUUUGGUUUAAAUUUGGCUAUCAAUGAUAAUUAACGAUUAUCAGGGAUAAUUAUUAAUUAUGACAUAUUGUUAGAUCCAAUUUACAUUAGAUCACCUCGGGGCACCACCCUUGAAGAAGGGAAAAUAUAGCAAAUGUAUUAAAAAGGUCUCAAAAGGUACUGUUUUUUUUUUUGUUUUUUUUUUACUACACUGUUUACAACUCUGAUUAAUAAUUAAAUAAAUAACUACAACCAAAAUUACCAUAACAGUUGUAAUGGUUGAAUGGUUUUGGAGUUCUUGACAGUGUAGAGGUUGGCAACAUUCACUCCUGUACGAUAUUAAAUAGACAGCUUGAAGGCUAAAAGGUCUUUUAUUUAACACAAAGAUGAAAACGCAUACCAUGUUUGAGAAGUUGGUUAGCUGCAUGCAAAGAUCCUUAGUCUGUGUGAAGCAUCAUUUGACUAACAUCAAAUUAGCCCUCUAGGAAAGCAAACUACCAAUAACCUGACCUGAGAUCACAUUAACACCCAGAAGUGAACAAGUGCAUACAUUGAACACAUAUGCAUUAUAUCAACCAGAGUUAAAAGUCCUGUGCUUAGUCAUGCAAUGCUAUGCUAUGCUAUGCUAUGCUAUCUAGGCCCAGUUCAACAUUACCAGUCUUUGAAGAACAGGUGCUGGUGGUUGCAGGGGAAGGUUGGGAUUCCAAUCUUGAAUGCUGUACUUGCCGCGCAAGGUCGGAUGAAAGUCGGCAGAGGAAGAAACAGAUCUGGAAUACUGGCAGGGCCUUGUGUUGCUGCAGUGAGGAUAAGUUAUUUGGGCCUGCUGCAAAUGUAGCUUGCAGCUCUCAGCAGCUGUUAGGCCCAGAAGAAACGAUCUCGAGGGCAGACAGCCCCGUGGAGGGGAGAUGGAGAGGAGCCCUUGAGGAUAAGAGUAAAGGAGUAGAGGGCAUCAAGUGAGAGAGAAAGAACAAGGAAGGCGCUGGAGUUGUGACCACGAUAGAAAUACACCCAUCACCAUCUGAAAAGUAAGAUAUGCAAUCUGCUACCAGCCAGCAAGACCAGUGGGACAGAACAUCACAGAAAGUCACACCAGAAAUAGAGGAAAGUGAGCUGGGAUCAGAGCUAAACUGACCCGACUAGGACCUAAGGCUAUUCCUCUCCCCAGCCUUCCUCUGGCUAAUGUACAGUGGCAGGAUGUACAAUGGAUGAGGUGUGAUAGUGACUAGGGGUGGGUAAAAAUAUCGAUGCAUCAAUGCAUUGCAAUAUAUUUUCCCCCAGUUCAAUAUCGAUUCAUAAAGUCCUCUGAAUCGAUUCAGACAAGCAGCGGCUGCCGACUACUCGCUGUUCCUCAUCGCCUCCUCCAGCAGCUGGAGGGUCGGAGAGUGAUGCGCCACAGAAACACCGUCGGAGCUGCAGAGGCGGGUAGCUGAUGUCUGAAAACAAGCACACAACUACAUGUCCACAUUUCGACACCAGUUGGUUACCAAGGCUUUAAACUCACAGUUUGACAGUUGUCAGUCAGGCUACUCAGCUCCCACCACUCUAAGGUAGUUGAACAUUGAUUUGAAUAAACAUAUAUAGAAAAAAUUAAAAAAGAAACAGAGAGAGGAAGAAGUAAAAUAUGAAAUUAAACGGUGUCUCAGGUCAUACUUUAAGAUUCUCAAAAUAUGUCACAAAGAUUUGCCAUUUUAAGUAAAAUUUCUGGACUGACCCUUUCAACGUGAAUUUAACUUUUUCUAGUUUAAGAAAAAAUAAAACUUAACCAUGCGGCCACUGCUGGUGGAGUAGAUUCUACAACAGGCAAGAAGUGAUGUAAAGGCAAUAUUGUCUGAUUGGUAAAGUUAAACUCUCCUUUGGAAUAUCAAAUAUUGCAAUCAACGGACAGGACUUAAUUUGAAUUUUUGUGACUUUGGAUAAAGUUUGAAAAACAGAUGACCAAUAUUGAUUUAGACGGGGACACAACCACAAUGUGUGUUAAAUCAGCUGAGAGAGGGAGCAUCUAUUACAACUCCUGUCCGUUCCUGGAUAUAUAUCUGCUAACCUAGCCCUACUGAAAUAAGCCCUUUGCACUACUUUAAACUGAAUAAGCCCCAGACAUGCACAGGAUGAGGAUGAGUUAAUCCUUUGUAGUGCAUCCUCCCAGUGUCAGUCCGACAACUCAAUCAUCAACUCACCAUCCCACCCGUUCUUAAUUUUUGAAAGGUCAUGGUCAUGGCAGAGACAUUAGUUGAGAGUAUAACCGUGAUGUCAGUCCCUUUUUUGGACAGAGAGUCAUUUCUGGGUAGUCGAUGUCUGAUGCACCGCUCUUUCGGAGACAGUAAACUCCCAGCACAGCCGGUCUCACCCUGGCUGCUGCACCGUGCACCCGCGGGUAGCACUCUCCUCCGGGGAGAGAGGGAGGUUCAGUGGCAACGUUUUACCCCCUCGCGUCUAGCCGGAGGGACCGAGGUUAUGUCUGUUUAUGUCAGACAAAAAUGUACCAUGCAGUCCCAGAAACUAUGGCACUUUCUCAGCUUAACUAUGGUUGCACUAUUUUAUAACUAAACACAUCGAGUACCUUUGUUUACAUUUCAAUUCGAACUACAACUUCCUAGAGGAAAGAUUUAUAAUUUAAGAUU